UGGGUUUAAAGGGAGCGUAGGCCGGAGAUUAAGCGUGUUGUGAAAUGUAGAUGCUCAACAUCUGCACUGCAGCGCGAACUGGUUUCCUUGAGUACGCACAAAGUGGGCGGAAUUCGUGGUGUAGCGGUGAAAUGCUUAGAUAUCACGAAGAACUCCGAUUGCGAAGGCAGCUCACUGGAGCGCAACUGACGCUGAAGCUCGAAAGUGCGGGUAUCGAACAGGAUUAGAUACCCUGGUAGUCCGCACGGUAAACGAUGGAUGCCCGCUGUUGGUCUGAAUAGGUCAGCGGCCAAGCGAAAGCAUUAAGCAUCCCACCUGGGGAGUACGCCGGCAACGGUGAAACUCAAAGGAAUAGACGGGGGCCCGCACAAGCGGAGGAACAUGUGGUUUAAUUCGAUGAUACGCGAGGAACCUUACCCGGGCUUGAAUUGCAGAGGAAGGAUUUGGAGACAAUGACGCCCUUCGGGGUCUCUGUGAAGGUGCUGCAUGGUUGUCGUCAGCUCGUGCCGUGAGGUGUCGGCUUAAGUGCCAUAACGAGCGCAACCCCUCUCCUUAGUUGCCAUCAGGUCAGGCUGGGCACUCUGGGGAUACUGCCACCGUAAGGUGUGAGGAAGGUGGGGAUGACGUCAAAUCAGCACGGCCCUUACGUCCGGGGCUACACACGUGUUACAAUGGCAGGUACAGAGAGAUGGUGUUCUGCAAAGCGCAUCUAGUCCUUAAAGCCUGUCUCAGUUCGGACUGGGGUCUGCAACCCGACCCCACGAAGCUGGAUUCGCUAG
rnacentral:rRNA from 1 species